CCCACACGCGCGCACACGAACACACCGUGUGCUGUCAACCUGUCUGGUCUCCUGGGGCACAAAGAAAGGGAGGGACAGUGGCAGUGGGUCCCAAGGACCAUUCAGUGAACUGACCGGGAGGGUAUUUCAGCCCCGAAGAGGGAACCGCGCCAGGGGGACACCAAGGUCAAAGUGGCCAGAGGUUUGGAACUGGGGGAAGAGAGGUUCUGGUGACGAAAGAACACCCUGGAAGGAAAGAGUGGAAAACCCGAGGUGACCGAAAGGAGCUGGCAGCUUCCCCCGGACGAGGACACAGACGGGGAAAGGCCCUGAAAGUCCAGGAAGAAAGAAAUGACGGUGGAGAAAAAAGGCGGAGCGGGAGAAAGGCGGAGAAACGGAGAGAAAAGACGGAGAAUCCUUAGAAGAAAAAGCGUCUUGGCUGCAUGGGGCCGGGAGAGUCUGCAAACACCUGGAGACGGGGAAGGAGGGGGCGGCCUGGGAGUUUCAUUCUUGGUGGCAUCUGCUUUGCGCCCAGAAGCGAGGCCGGCUGGUGACAGAAGCGGCGUCUGUGCCGCCUCCCAGGUGUUCUCGCACCCGGUCUUCACGAGCAAACACAUGGCAGUGCUGACAUGGAUUAGGAUCCAGUGGAAGCCAAGAAAAGAAAACUAAGAAAGGGAAAAAGCUACUCACAGCUUCGCCAGCAGCAGCUUGGCUGUCUGGGUUCCAGAGGGCUGCCUCUUCGGGGCCAGAGUGGCUGAUGCAGGAGUUUCUCAGGGCUUCUGCUUCCAUCAUGGACCGAGAGAAAGUAAAGCAGUAAAUGUGGAACCAGAAGGACACCCCAUUAUUUAUUUUGGGCUACACCUGCAGCAUAUGGAGGUUGCCGGGCUAGGCGUCGAAUUGGAGCUACAGCUGCCGGCCUCCACCCACAGCCCCAGCAACGCAGCACCCGAGCCACAUCUGCAACCUACACCACAGCUCACAGCAACGCCAGAUCCUUGACUCACUGAGUGAGGCCAGGGAUGGAACCCACAUCCUCAUGGAUACUAGUCGGUUUCGUUACGGCUGAGCCACGAAGGGAACUCCCACCAGCCCCACUUAAAGUUUCUCCGGAGCCACAGAGCAGCAGAAAAGAAGGCAGAAUUCCUAGUCACCAAAUGCACACCCAUGGACUUUUUAAAUUUCUUUGUACCAAGGAGCCAUCGUUUGAUCUCGGGUUCUAGUGGCUCAUCUCGGUCCUCGGAAAAUGUUAGGAUUCAGAUCCUUAGGACCGAGGACAGGAAUUGAAGGGAAAGAUGACAUUCCAGAGUAGGAGACCCUGGUCGUAGGGAAAUCUGAGAUGAUUCGCAUAUUUUAGCAUCUGUUUCCACCCUUCUGCUGAUUUGAAUAAGCGCCAUCACAGCCCUAGUUUGACCUCAGAGGGUCAAACACUCCCUUUAUCUGAGAUGAAGGAGGAGCUAGUGAUAUAACAACGAGGAAGAGAUGUCUUUUUCGCUCCCUGCUUCCCUUGGAUGAUAAAACUGUAGCCCAGCUAAUCCUCGGGGCAGAGCCUCCCCACCUGCCCACUUGCAUCUCUCACAAGCAUCCUGUCUUAAUGAAUCUAUGUCUGCCUAUCGCUUUGUCGCUCGCUGAAUUCCUUCUGCGCUGAGACGUAAAGAACCUGAGCCUCAGU
ensembl:lncRNA